rnacentral:lncRNA from 1 species
GGGAGGUCGCCGGAUGCCAAGUGUUGUUAUUCCCCGUAGGUAGCUAUUUCGAUGUUCGUAGGUACCAGGUUAGAUCAUGAUGAGGCGGCUUCGUUGUUACCCCGGCGUCCGUUAGGGAGAACGGUGGAUACCGCUGCUCCGGCGAUGGCUGCUGAGAGGGAGGGCGUCAUGUCCGCACUGUUGGGUGCGCGGGACUCGAGGGUGUGCGGGACCCGAGGACAGGCCUCUCUCUCCUUUGCUCCGGUCGGCGCAGGUCAUGAGUGCUCCGUGGCGAAUGAGAAUCGGCCGCCGGCACUGUAGCCUGCACAGGACGGUCAUGCACGGGUACUUGCGCCAGGUUGCGUGAGGGGCUCGGUCGCCCUGCCCUCUGCCAACUCUGUGGUGCAUUUAUGGCGAGGCCGACGGGGGGACCCACAGGAUUUGUCUUGUCUAUGCGGACCGCAUCCGAGGGUGUUCCCGGGCUUGUGGGCCCUGGUGCGCCCGACCCCUCCGCUUAGGGUCGGGCGAGGCGGAGAACUCCGCGGCAUGGGGUCGGGUGCUCCCGACCCUGGGAUCGCAGUCGGGCGAGGCGGAGAUUUUGCGGAGGGGGGUCGGGCGCUCCCGAUCCUGGCGCCGGGGUCAGGCGUGGCGGAGAUUUGAUCAUGCUUUGGUGGGCCUGGGCCUUCAUGUUUGCUUCUUUAAGCAGUCUGUUAGGGGGUCAUUAAUAUUUCCCCCCAACAGUAGCCCCCGAGCCUGUGGUGGAGCAGGAGUGCUCCUCCGGAGGCUCCUUUCGCUUUUCGCCGCCGGUUUCUGUAUAAUGGCGCGCUUGUUCUAUCUCCGCCGUGCUCGAGAGAACCUGCCAGUUUGUGACCACACGCAUGGUAGUUGUUUGCGAGGCUAGCCCCCGAGCUCCUGCUCGUUGCAGGAAACCGAUCGGGAGGCCAGGUCGACUUUUUUGAUCGUUGCCCCUCAAGCGUCCGUUCGCUAGGACGGAGGGGUUGAGCCGGGCCACGUUAUCCGAGUUGGACGAACCGUGGUGCUCGUUUGAGCUGCAAACGGGUAAGUUCGAGUGGAGUCCCGGUCCCCGUUCGGGGGGGUCCGGCUCGGGCCAAGCUGGUGGCGUACUCCAAUUUCCCGUCGGUCAGUUCAUAUAGUUCUCGGAUCCGUUCGACCGGAUCUGAGGGCUCGUUGCCUUUCCCCGUGGAAAAACCAUGGACUUUACACUGAGCGGGACUCGAACGUGAGGUUGGGGCGCCCUUGGCGUUCGCUCGCCUGGGUGUUGGCCGCUAGCGGGCCCGUCCCUUCUCACCCCUUGCUCGGGGAUGUCCUGAGGAAGCUGUCGAACCCGUGUUGGGCCAGCUUUCGAACCCCUGGACCGUAUUGGGCCGUAGGGGCGUUUUCAGCCCCGUAUCCCUUUCUUACCUCCCUGCGGGCCUUGGACCGGAGCGGUUGGCAUGCCUGGGCCGAUCGUGGGGAGCGUCGUGGGCGCGAUACCCGGGGAGUGGAGUUAUGGUAGCGUCGUCCCGCGAAUCGAGGAAGAUAGGAUGUUUUUCGCGGCCGAUCGUGCGCGCGGUUUACGAAAAGGAAACGGGCGCGGCGGGGGCGUACCUGGCGCCGCAUUUAUGGCGGCCGUGGCGUCGGUUUGGCUUCCCCGGUACCUUUCCUAUAAAAGCAGGAGUACGCCGCGCCUGUUCCUCUCCUUUCGCGCUCGAGCCUCCUUGCCUUCCUCCUAGUUCACUUGCGCUUGCCUCGCUCGCCUUGUUCCCGUCGCCUCAAGCCGCGUGCUUUCGUCUCUGCCUCCGUCGAUCCACUCCCUUUCUUGGCGAUGGCUUCCUGGGGAGUCUCCCACUUCACUUCCAACCGCGCCGAGGGCCUGGUGCGGAAGGGGCUCCUUUGCGAGAAGACGGCGGCGGACGAGUGGCUGCUGCCGGGGCCGGAGCAGGUUCCGUCGCCUCCCGCCGGCUACGUCGUCUCCUUCGCCCACUUCCACGAGCGGGGAUUCGCCUCCCCUCCAAGCCGCUUCUUCCGCGGGCUUCUUUACUACUACGGGCUCGAGCUCCAGCACCUCAACCCCAAUGGGAUCCAGCACAUCGCGGCAUUCGUCGCGCUGUGUGAGGGAUUCCUGGGGAUUGAGCCCCACUUCGAGCUGUGAAAGUAUUUCUUCACGGUGAGCCUGUAUCAGAAGGCGGGGAAGGCCGGGAGCCAGCAGCGGUCGCCUCCGGUGCCGAUUGGGUGCGCCGGGAUUCAUCUCCGUCAUACUCGCUCCAAGGAGUACAUGACGGUGAAGACCUCGGUGUCCCACAAGGGGUGGCAUAAUCAGUGGUUCUACGUGAAGAACUACCCGAACUCCCCCCUGCCGGCGUUCACCGGCUGCACCAUCGAUGCGGCGCCCGACGUAUGGGCGUACGGGCCGGUGGAGAAGGAGAAGAGGAAGAUCUCCGACCUGUUGCAGGCCAUUGGGCAGCUGAAGUGGGAGGGGCUCACCGGCGCCGGGGUCAUCGGCGCGUACCACGCCCGGCGGGUGGCGCCGCUGAUGCUCCGAGUGCGGCCGCUUGGCAUCAUGUCCCCCGACAUGCCGACCGAGGGCACCGUCCUGGCGACAGGCGCGCUCGCUGCCUCCGAGAUCCGGCAACGACUCCGGGAGGCGCUGGAGGACAAGGACGUCGACUACCCGAUCCCCGGGCAUCCGCCGAUGCGCCCGAAGCCGGGCUUCGUAGACCUGGUAAGAUGUUUGGGUCACCGCUUCUCCCUCCUGAUGUUCCGUUGUUUUGUUGUUCUGAUGCGGAUCCUCCUUCACGUUUUGCAGGGCAUGCUGACCCAGGUUGCGGACUCCCUCCUGCCGGUGCCGGAGGGUGCCGAGCGGAGGGCUCGCAAUCGUCUCCGGGCCGAGGAACAGAAGCGCCGUAAGGACAAGGAGACGGAGAAGCGGUGGAAGAAGGCCGCCAAGGAGCUCCUACGGCGGCGGAGAGGGGCGGUCGUGUCUGACGAUGACGACGACGACGAGGAAGAAGAAGAAGAAGAAGAAGAAGAAGAAGAAGAAGAAGAAGAGGAAGAGGAGGAUGAGGAAGAGCUGUUUGCCCCCCGUUCGAGGGCUUUGGUGAUUCGUGACGCACCCCCGCAGACGACUGUAGGGGGUGCAGCGGCGGGAGCGUCCUCCCGGGAUCCGGCUCCCCAGGGUCCUGGGGCUGUGCCCCAGGGGCCAGCGCAGCCCGUGCUCCAGGAGCCGGCGCGGACCGCCCCUCAGGGGUCGGCUCAGCGCACGUCUCAGGAGCUAGUGCGGACUGCUCCUCAGGGGGCGGCGCAGGGCCUACCCCAGGAAGGGGCGCGGGGCGCCCCCUUGGGGUCGUCCCAGGGCGUCCCCCAGGAACGGGUGCGGGCCGCUCCCCUGGGGUCGGCUCGAGGCGCCGCCCUGGUGUCGACACGGAGCGCCCCUCAGGGGCCUUCAGAGUCCGCCCCUGCCGCCGCCUUGGGUCCGGCGCGGGGCGCUCCCCAGGAGUCCGCUCGGGGGGCUCCUUGGGGAUCCGUGGGGACCGCCUCCGCCGCCGCGCCUGUUGGCGGAGGGCAACGGGGCGGCGACAAGCGGCCACUGCCAGACGCCCCGGGGUCGGCGUCCGGCUCCGAGUCGAAGCGCGCGCGUCGCCCCUGCGCUUCGAGGGCGUAAGUUAACUCUUCCUAUGUGUCAUCCUUCUUUUCUUUUUCCGUUCGUUUCUGCUGACGCCCGACCGUCGACGCGCAGUACUUCUCCCCCGCGGCGUCAGCCUGCGGCUGGCGCCCAAGAAGGCGCUGCUGACAUCAUCCUCCUCCGGGGGGCGGGCCGCAGCCCCGCCGGUGGCGAUUGGCGGGGUUCCUGGUGUGGCCACAGGUCCCCCCGCGGGGGUGGCUGCUGCGGAGUCGGUUGGCGGGACGGCGGCGGAGACAGCCGCAGGAGGGAGAGCGGACUCCACUCCGUCUGCGGCUCCACCGAUCGCCCCUCCGGCUCAGGUCAUGAUCCCCCCUUGCCCUCAGGCCGGGGAGGUGAUCGACCUUGACGCCGACGAGGCGGAGGAGGCGGAGACGACGGAGGGCAGGGUGGAUGCCCCCGCUGCCAUGGCGGGGUCGGAGGCAGAGGGGGCACUUGCUCCCGAGGACGCGGCGGCGGCGAAGGCAGCGGCGCCGGAGGCCGGGGUCUCCGUCCCGGUCGCUCCCGCGGGGGUGACUCUGGCGGCCGAGACGGAGGUGCCCACAGGGGUGCCGUUAGCGGCUGCGGUGGUGACGGGUGCGCAGGCGCCGGAGUCGUCGGCGGAUCCAGGGGUUUCUGGCGUCGUGAUGUCGUCAUCGACGGUGAUGUCAGAGUCGACCCUUGUUCCGCCCUCGGCUUCCUCUGUCCCUGGGGCGUGGAGAGGGCCCGUCCUCCGCUGGACAUCCCGCGACGACCCGCCGAGGUGCCGCUACGCACUGGAUGAUGCCGCCGAGUGGCAUAGGUGGCAGGCGGUGCAUGGCGGCGGCGCCCAGGUUCAGGCGGCUCUGACCUCGGCGUUGGGAGUUUUGGCCAACACCGUGGUCCCUGGCAGCCAGGUAUGUUGUUCCUGCCGCUCGGCGAUGAGUCCCUUCUCUUUGCUUUUUUGCUUUAACGGCAUGCCGCUUUGCAGGCUCUCCAAGAGGGCAGCCGGGAGAAGUCUGACUUCCUCCAGCGGCAGCGGAACCUCUGGGAGCACUAUAACACCGAGAGGGAGCGCUCCAGGAAUCUGACCCUGCAGCUUGGCGCCGCCCAGGGGGCCGUUCGCGACCUGGAGGGGCGUGAGCAGGUGGCGCUAGAGGGGGCGCGGCGUGCCGAGGCCAAGCUCCAGGCCGUCGCGGAGAAGGCCCGCCUCGACCUUGAGGAGUUCCAGGCCGCCAUGGACAGGGCCCGCCGCGAUGCAGAGGGGCUAAAAGCCGCUGCUGCUGAGCGGGCCCGCCGAGACGCCGAGGAGCUGGCGCGGCUGAGGGGGGAGAGUGCGGCCCUCCGCGCGGGGCACGAGCAACUCCGUUUGCAGGUGCAGGGGCUCCAGUCCGCCUUGUCCCGCAGCGUCGACAGGGAGCGCGAGCUGAAGGCCGAGGCCGACGGUGAGGCUCUUUCUGCUCCCGCGUUUUUAUGUCGUUGGUGUUUUGCUUCUUCUGACUUGGUGGGAUUUCUCGAGUGGCUCCUGCAGGUGACCUCGCCAGAUUGCGGACUCUGCUCGACGAGGAGCGUGGUGAGCAUGGCACCCUGCGGGAUGCGGUUCGCGUCAUCUGCGAGGACUUCGGCGUUGCUCCGGAGGAGGGGUCGAGCUCGCUGCCGGCUCAUGUCCUCGAGGUGCGCCGUCGUCGUCGCGAGAUCACCGUGGACGCGCUUCGCCUUGGCGUGCGGCGCGCCUUCGGGGUCUUCGGCUCUCACUAUGCCGACAUUAAUUUUGUCGGGAUGAGUGAGGGGUACUGCGCCGGCUACACCGACGCCGAGCUGGAUGAGAUCGACGCCGCGGUGACCGCGCUGGCGGAGGCCCUCGCGAAGCUCCUGGAGGAUGAAGCCGUCCCCCCUGCCGAUCCUGAGGCCGCUCCUGCCGACCCUGAGGCCGCCGCCGUCGCCGACCCUGAAGCCGCCGCCGUCGCCGACCCUGAAACCGCCGCUCUUGUUGACCCCGAGACCACUGCUCCAGCCGACCCUCCUGUCAAUUAACUGUGCCGGGCUUGCGCCCGAAAAAAGUUUGUACUUAAGUCAGUCGUUUUGAACUCGUUUGUGCUGGCCAUACGGGCCUGUUCUUAUGACUUUUUAUUUUGCGCUAAGGAAACCGUUUCCCUUUGUUAUUCCUUUGGUCUUUGAAAGCUUUAGGAUGUGUUGCCGGGUGCGUCAGUAAGUUUUUGAUGAGCGAAGGUACCGUAGCCGCUGGGGCGUAGGCUUUUUCGCAGUCCGAUCGCAACUUGGCUGAGCACCGUUCGCGCAUCCUUAUCUUUUUGCAUCCAAAGGUUUUCGAAAGGGAGUGUUCGGUUUUUGAAAAAAGAAAAAACGUUUUCUUUUUAGCGGUGCCCAGCGGCUGGGGUCGGGACCCCUGAUAGCCCCCGAGGGGUGUGCGAUCCUGGAGCCAGGCCAGGGUCGGAUACCCCUGAGUUUAAAAGAAAAGGCCUUCUUUUUUCGUGGAAGAUCAAAACUGGUAGCCCCCGAGGGGUAUGCGACCCUUGAGCGAGGCCAGGGUCGGAUACCCCUGAGCUUAAACGAAAGGGUCUGAGCCAAAGUGGCUCAGGGUUUCUUUUUUCGCAGAAGAACAAAACUGGUAGCCCCCGAGGGGUAUGCGACCCUUGAGCGAGGCCAGGGUCGGAUACCCCUGAGCUUAAACGAAAGGGUCUGAGCCAAAGUGGCUCAGGGUUUCUUUUUUCGCAGAAGAACAAAACUGGUAGCCCCCGAGGGGUAUGCGACCCUGGAGUGAGGCCAGGGUCAGAUACCCCUGAGCUUAACCGAAAGAACGGAAAAGAUGGCAAGACCAUGCAUAACUUGAAAAUGAGAGCUAGGGGUAGAAGCGCCUUAGCUGUUCUAUGUUCCAGGCGUUGCUGAAGAUUUGCCCGUCGGGAGUUGCCAGUUUGUAGGUGCCUGGCCGCAGCACUUGUGCGACGAUGAACGGGCCUUCCCAUGGGGGAGUCAACUUGUGCCGACCCCUGUUGUCUUGGACGAGGCGGAGCACUAGAUCUCCGACGUUGAAGGCGCGGCCUUGUAUUCUGCGGCUGUGGUAACGCCGUAGGGCCUGCUAGUACUUAGCUGAGUGUAGCAGGGCUACAUCUCGCGCCUCGUCGAGUUGGUCUUGUGCGUCCUCGAGUGACGUCUGGUUUCCCUGUUCGUCGUAUGCUUUGACCCUCGGUGACCCAUACUCCAAGUCGGUGGGCAAGAUGGCCUCUGACCCGUAGACCAUGAAGAAUGGGGUGAACCCUGUCGCCCGGCUGGGGGUCGUCCUCAGGCUCCAGAGGACUGCUGGGAGCUCCGCAACCCAUCGUCCGCCGAAUUUUUUGAGGCGGUCGAAGAUCCGUGGCUUGAGACCCUGAAGUAUCAUGCCAUUGGCUCGCUCGACUUGCCCGUUCGUGCGGGGGUGCGCAACUGCCGCCCAAUCCACUCGAAUGUGGUGGUCGUCGCAGAACUGGAGGAAUCUCUUUCCGGUGAACUGCGUACCGUUGUCGGUUAUGAUGGAGUUCGGGAUCCCGAAGCGGUGGAUGAUGUCGGUGAAGAACUGUACCGCCUGCUUGGACCUGAUUUGCGCCACUGGCCUUGCUUCGAUCCAUUUGGAAAACUUGUCGACAGCGACAAGUAGAUGGGUGAAGCCCCCGGGCGCCCUUUUGAAGGGUCCGACGAGAUCCAGCCCCCAGACCGCGAACGGCCACGUGAUGGGGAUGGUUUGUAACGCCUGCGCGGGCAGGUGGGUUUGGCGGGCAAAGAACUGGCAUCCCUCGCAAGUGCGGACCACCUGUGUAGCAUCCGCGACCGCGGUCGGCCAGUAGAAACCUUGUCGGAAGGCAUUGCCCACAAGCGUCCUUGGCGCAGCGUGGUGACCACAAGCCCCAGCGUGGAUGUCCUGGAUCAGCGCCUUUCCCUAUUCGAUCGGGAUGCAGCGCUGGAGGAUCCCAGUGUGACUUCGCUUGUAAAGCUCCUGGUCGAUGAUGGUGAAGGUUUUCGCACGGCGCGUGAUCCUGCGGGCUUCGGUCUUGUCGGUCGGGAGCGCGUCGCGGAUAAGGUAGUCGAGGUACGGGGCUCUCCAAUCGGUCGAGGGGUCGGCCCCCGCCGCGGGGCCCGCCUCGAUUUCCAUAACCGCGGGGUCGGAAGGCUUGGCUUCCGGGGCCGGGUCGGGUGGGGCAGCGUUGGUUCCCUUGGGAUCGGUGCUCGGGUCCAGGACAGGUGGCGUGCUGCCGACCUUCCCUGGCUCGGAUCCCACCCCCAAAGCUGGGCAUGCCCCGCCGACCUCUGCUGGCUCCGGGUAACGGAUCGAAGGCUUCAGCUGGUCGCUAACGAAGACGCCGUCGGGGACGGGCAUCCGGCCGGACGCCGCCUUUGCGAGCUCGUCGGCGGCUUCAUUGAAGCGCCUUGCGACGUGGUUGAGCUCCAACCCGUCGAACUUGUCCUCGAGCUUACGUACCUCGUUGCAGUAGGCGGCCAUUUUAGGGUCAUGGCAGCUCCAUUCUUUCAUGACUUGUUCGACGACCAACUGGGAAUCGCCUCGGACGUCUAGUCGACAAAUGCCCAGCUCGAUGGCGAUGCGGAGCCCGUUGAGCAGGGCUUCAUACUCAGCGACAUUGUUGGAUGCAGGAAAAUGGAGGCGGAUCAUGUACCUGAUGCGUACGCCCAACGGAGAGACGAAGACGAGGCCUGCUCCGGCGCGGGCCCUCAUCAGCGACCCGUCGAAGUACAUCAUCCAGUACUCCUGCUCCUCUGUUGCCGUUGGUGCUUGUACCUCUGUCCACUCGGCCACGAAAUCGGCAAGUACCUGGGACUUAAUGGCGGUGCGGGGGACGUAGGUGAUACCCUGAUCCAUAAGCUCAAGCGCCCACUUCGCGAUCCUUCCUGUUGCAUUUGGGUUCCGGAUUACUUCACCAAGCGGGAAUGAAGAGACGACCGUUACCGGAUGGGAGGUGAAGUAGUGACGCAGCUUCCUCUUCGUGAUGAGGAUGGCGUAGACGAGCUUCUGGAUCUGCGGGUAUCGUGACUUGGACUCGAACAAUACUUCGCUGAUGAAGUACACCGGGCGUUGCACCUUAAGAGCGUGUCCCUCCUCCUCCCGCUCCACUACCAGGGCCGCGCUGACCACCUGGGUGGUCGCCGCGACGUAGAGUAGAAGGGUCUCGCCGUCGGCCGGCGGAACUAGAAUUGGGGCUUUUGUCAGGAGAUCCUUGAGCCUCUCAAGUGCUUCCUGCGCCUCGCUGGUCCACUCAAAGCGGUCGGAUUUUUUCAGGAGCCGAUAGAGAGGAAGUCCUCGCUCGCCGAGGCGCGAGAUGAAGCGGCUAAGGGAUGCUAAGCAUCCCAUGACGCGCUGCACUCCCUUCAUGUUCCGGAUCGGCCCUAUGUCGUUGAUGGCCGCUAUCUUCUCCGGGUUCGCCUCGAUGCCGCGCACGGAGACGAUGAAGCCUAGCAGCAUGCCCCUUGGGACACCAAACACGCAUUUCUCAGGGUUAAGCUUGAUACGCUUAUCCCUUAGCCUUUCGAAGGCUAGCUCCAGGUCGGGAACGAGCUGAUCGCCCUUCCUGGAUUUGACUACGAUGUCGUCGACGUAGGCCUCAACGGUCUGCCCGAUGAGAUCUCCGAAGCACUUAAGCAUACAUCGCUGGAAGGUAGCCCCCGCGUUUUUGAGGCCGAACGGCAUCUUAACGUAGCAGUAGGGGCCAAAGGGGGUGAUGAAGGAGGUAGCGAGCUGGUCGGCCUCUUUCAUCGUGAUCUGGUGAUAGCCGGAGUACGCAUCAAGGAAGCUGAGUGUUUCGCACCCAGCGGUUGAGUCGACUAUUUGAUCUAUGCGUGGCAAAGGGAACGGAUCCUUUGGACACGCUUUGUUGAGGCUGGUAUAAUCGACACACAUCCUCCAUUUCCCGUUCUUUUUUGGUACAAGAACAGGAUUGGCCAACCACUCGGGGUGGUGUACUUCCUUGAUGAACCCGGCCGCCAGGAGCUUCUGGAGCUCUUCACCAAUGGCCCUGCGCCUUUCUUCGUCGAAACGGCGCAAGCCUUGCUUCACUGGUUUAGAGCCGGCCCUGAUGUUCAAGGAAUGCUCGGCGACUUCUCUCGGGAUGCCUGGCAUAUCCGAGGGCUUCCACGCAAAGAUGUCGCUGUUCGCGCGGAGGAAGUCGACGAGCGCGCUUUCCUAUUUGGGGGAUAGGGCUGCGCUGAUCCGCACGACCCCGCCACCGGAACUGCCGGGGUCGAGAGGGACUUCCUUGAUGCCUUCAGUGGGCUCAAAGGAGGUACCUGACUGCUUGGCGUCGGGCUGGUCCUCGAUCGUCUCCUCAAGCUGGGCUACCAUGUCGCCCGAGACGGUGAUGGCCGCGGCGUACUCGGAGCACUCGACGUCGCACUCGUAUGCCUUCUGGAAGGUUGUGCCGACGGUGAUGACCCCAUUAGGCCCUGGCAGCUUGAGCUUGAGGUAGGUGUAGUUGGGGAUUGCCAUGAACUUCGCGUAGCAUGGCCGUCCCAAGAUGGCGUGGUAGGUUCCGCGAAACCCUACCACCUCGAAGGUGAGGACCUCCUUCCUAUAGUUAGAAGGGGUCCCGAACGUGACGGGCAGGUCGAUCUGCCCGAGAGGCGUUGCCUGCUUUCCUGGCACAACGCCAUGGAAGGGAGCCUUGCUAGGACGGAGACGGGAGCGAUCGAUUCCCAUGGCGUCGAGGGUCUCGGCGUAGAGGAGGUUGAGGCCGCUGCCCCCAUCCAUGAGUACCUUGGUGAGGCGUGUCGUGCCGACGAUGGGAUCGACGACGAGAGGGUAACGCCCCGGAUGCCGGACGCGUCCCGGGUGGUCGGACCUAUCAAAGGUGAUGGCCGGUCCGGACCAAUCGAGGAAAGCCGGGGUCGCAGGCUCGGCCGCGUAGAUCUCCCGGCGCUCUAGCUUUUGCUGGCGCCUGGUGUCGUAUGCUGCGGAGCCUCCGAAGAUCAUGAAGCAGCCGUCAACUUUAGGAAAGCCGUCUUCCUUUUCCUCGUCACCCUUCCUUUCCUCGUCGGGUUUCCGCUUCCGGUCACCUUUCGCCGGGUUGCCCACAAAGAACCUCUUCAUGAGGUUACAAUCUUUGUAGGCGUGCUUGACGGGGAACUCGUGGUUCGGGCACGGCCCCUCAAGCAGCUUGUCGAAGAAGCCAGGAGCGCCGUCGGGGGGCGGUUGCUCCCGCUUGCGCUCGGCUGCGGCUACGAGUGGAGCCUCGCGUCGCUGCUUGCCCUUCUUCUUCUGCUGCUGGCGGUUGGAGGUGCCUUCGUCGGCGUCCUCCUCCCGCUUCGCCUUGCCUUUGGAACGAUCAAAGAUCGCUCCGACAGCCUCUUCACCAGAAGCGUAGCUAGUGGCGAUGUUGAGGAGCUCUUCCAUGGUUCGCGUGCCUCGGCACCCUAGCUCGUGGACGAGGGGUCGGCAAGAGGUCCCUGCUAGGAAGGCCCCUAUAACGUCGGCGUCGGCGACGUUGGAGAGCUCGGUGCGCUUUCUGGAGAAGCGCCGAAUGUAAUCCCGAAGGGACUCGUCCGCCCCCUGGCGGCAGCUCCGAAGAUCCCAGGAGUUGCCAGGGCGUGUGUACGUCCCUUGGAAGUUUCCUACGAAAACCUCCUUCAGGUCGUUCCAGUUGCGAAUGCGUCCUGAAGGGAUAUGUUCUAGCCAGGCUCUCGUAGAGUCUGCCAGAAACAGGGGUAAGUUGCGGAUGAUGAACAGGUCAUCGUCCGCCCCGCCGGCUUGACACGCAAGCCGGUAAUCGCUGAGCCAUACUCCAGGGUUGGUCUCCCUCGAGUAUUUGGCCACGCUCGUGGGCUGCCUGAAGCGCGGCGGAAAGGGCGCAUUUAGGAUGCGCGUGGAGAAGGCCCGAGGUCCGGCCGCUCCGGGGCUCGGACUGCGGUCCUCCCCGCUGUCGUAGCGCCCGCCGCGAUGGACGUGGUAGCCACGAUCCGCCCCGUCCCCCCUGUCCGCGCGGGAGCGUCUCCGCGUGUUCAGCGUGUCGCGGGCGUCGCGGACGAGGCCGACGCGCUGGUGGACGGAUCGGGCCUCGCCUAUCGCGGGUGGCGGUGCUCGUUGGGCGGUUGCAGCCGGAUUCACCUCCGGAGGGGGUUGAUGAACAGAUUCCCCCCACCGUUCCGGGGGCGCGCCCUGCGUCGCCCGACUGGCGUUCUGGCCGCGUCGUCGAGACGCUGAACUUUCCGCCUGCUGGACGGCGGCGCACUCGAGCAGGUUACGCAUCUCUUGGCGCGCCCGUCGCUCCUCGGGCGUUGCUGGCUCGGGGAGCUGUCGGAGUAACACCGCCGCGGCGGCGACGUUCUGGCUAGCGCGGGCAAAGAGCGGCGGGCGUUCUCCAUCCGCACAGAUGCGUUCCUGGACGUCGCGCGCCCGUUGCCACGCUCCCCCCUCGUGAUGGGGGUGCUCUACUCCCUGGCGAGCGCCCACGUGCGCUUCCAGUUGCUGGGAGCAUUCUGGGGCCCUGGGUAAGGCUCCCGUUGUAGCUGCGGCGUCCGAGGGGGGAGCCCGUUGCCUCCCCUCGGCACCAUCGCCAUUGGACCCCUCGGAGUGCGCAUCAGCCAUGAAGCACUCGCGCGAGGGCCGGGGAUUCUCGUUACUAGAGCCAGUGUCGGAGAUUGUCCUUGCCACGCCCACGAGCUCGUUGCUCGUAGGUGACGUGGCGAGGGACCGCGCUAGGAGGCGACCGUGAGCCCCCGUGGCGUUGCGUAGCCCGAAGAGCCAUCCUUCUGGUGAGGCCCUUCCGGCUGGCGUCCGGCCGCUCGUCGCCGUCUUGGCUGUGGUGCCGAGGGCAGCGGGAUGAGCGGGCAGGACGUGGACAGGGAUCAGCUCGAUCCCUUUCCCGGUGGCCAGGAAGUCCAGGCUGCCGAAACGGAUUAGGGAGCCUGGAGCAAAGCUGCUAUCGCGAUUGGCCAUCUGAGACUUGGAGAUGUACGCGCAAAGGUCCCCUACCUGGCGCGCCAACUGUCGUUGUCAAGAUCAGCGGAUCAAGACUUAGACUAGUAAAUUUCUUUUAUGCGCGUGAGCCUCAGAUGGUUGCACGGGAGACACGGAUUAGACUGGUUCGGGCAAAGGAAGCCCUACGUCCAGUAUCGAGGAUGCUCGUGUUACCCGUGCGGGGGUUCUGUAGUAGGGGGUUAUAGAUUGGCGAGAGAGGGACUGGUCCCAAGUCUCUUCGGUUUUUGUGCUCUUAGGAAGAGUGGUGGUCUACUAUGGUGUACGGGAGAAGGAGCUGAUUCCCUCCAUCCCCUCCCCCCGGCUCUGGGUUCCUCCUUUUAUAUCACAAGGGGACGGCUGGAGUUACAAUUGGGAUCGGGUAGAAAGGCCCGUAAAGAGUAAAGAGUAAGAUGGUAAAAAGUAAGGCAGGAAGGAGGGGAGAGAUCCCAGGCGCCCUGAUAUCCUGCCGACCCUGAACGCGUGCCGCCGUGCAUGCCGGAGGGGGAGGUCGCCGGAUGCCAAGUGUUGUUAUUCCCCGUAGGUAGCUACUUCGAUGUUCGUAGGUACCAGGUUAGAUCAUGAUGAGGCGGCUUCGUCGUUACCCCGGCGUCCGUUAGGGAGAACGGUGGAUACCGCUGCUCCGGCGAUGGCUGCUGAGAGGGAGGGCGUCACGUCCGCACUGUUGGGUGCGCGGGACUCGAGGGUGUGCGGGACCCAAGGACAGGCCUCUCUCUCCUUUGCUCCGGUCGGCGCAGGUCAUGAGUGCUCCGUGGCGAAUGAGAACUGGCCGCCGGCACUGUAGCCUGCACAAGACGGUCAUGCACGGGUACUUGCGCCAGGUUGCGUGAGGGGCUCGGUCGCCCUGCCCUCUGCCAACUCUGUGGUGCAUUUAUGGCGAGGCCGACGGGGGGACCCACAGGAUUUGUCUUGUCUAUGCGGACCGCAUCCGAGGGGGUUCCCGGGCUUGUGGGCCCCGGUGCGCCCGACCCCUUUGCUUAGGGUCGGGCGAGGCGGAGAACUCCGCGGCGUGGGGUCGGGUGCUCCCGACCCUGGGAUCGCAGUCGGGCGAGGCGGAGAUUUUGCGGAGGGGGGUCGGGCGCUCCCGAUCCUGGUGCCGGGGUCAGGCGUGGCGGAGAUUUGAUCAUGCUUUGGUGGGCCUGGGCCUUCAUGUUUGCUUCUUUAAGCAGUCUGUUAGGGGGUCAUUAAUAUUUCCCCCCAACAUUAUUGUUAUUUUAUAUAAACUUAGUCAAAAAUAGGAUUGUUUGACUUAGAACAAACUCAAAGUCACUUAU